rnacentral:rRNA from 1 species
GUGGGGAAUCUUGCGCAAUGGGCGAAAGCCUGACGCAGCCAUGCCGCGUGAAUGAUGAAGGUCUUAGGAUUGUAAAAUUCUUUCACCGGGGACGAUAAUGACGGUACCCGGAGAAGAAGCUCCGGCUAACUUCGUGCCAGCAGCCGCGGUAAUACGAAGGGGGCUAGCGUUGCUCGGAAUUACUGGGCGUAAAGGGCGCGUAGGCGGACAGCUUAGUCAGAGGUGAAAGCCAAGGGCUCAACCUUGGAAUUGCCUUUGAUACUGGCUGUCUUGAGUGUGGAAGAGGUGAGUGGAACGCCGAGUGUAGAGGUGAAAUUCGUAGAUAUUCGGAAGAACACCAGUGGCGAAGGCGACUCACUGGCCCAAUACUGACGCUGAGGCGCGAAAGCGUGGGGAGCAAACAGGAUUAGAAACCCGGGUAGUCC